UUUGGUCCAUUUUGGGUAAGUAUUCCUGAGAUUUCAAAGCAAAAAUGUCAUGUAGGCAGCUAGACACAUGGGUCUGACACUAAGAGGGAAUGUCUGAGAUGGAGAUAUAAAUUUAUAAGUCAAAUAAAUCUGUGGGCAUGCUUGAAGUUGCCCAGGAAGAGAAGUGAGAAGUGAAUAGAGCCUCUCAUCCAGCCUUGACAAACUAUAACAUUUAAUGUCUUGUUAGAAGAGGAGUCUGUGAGGGAGAAGGGGAAGCCAGGGAGGACAAACCUGCCAAAAUACUGCAAGAAAAGAUGUUGCUGAUCAUGGGCAGGAAAUACUCAAAGUCCCAUGAGAUAGCAUGUUCUUAAGAGACUUCCACACCAAGUCUGCUGACCUCAGAAGGACCAUUGGGCUACGACAAUCCCUACUGAAGUCUGCUCAGGGCUAGGAGAAUGGAAACCAAGGACAAAAAUGGACUUUGUAGGAAGUUAUUGAUUGAUUAUAUUAUAUCCAUGUUAUAGGAUAUUAUUUUGCUAUUAAAGCCAGUAACUUUUAUCUCAAUAGUAAUAGCUAACAUUUAUUGAGCACUUUGUAUGUGUUAGGUAAUAUAUGAAGUACUUUUCAUGAACUUACUAAUCCUUUUAAUAAUUCCCUUAGAUAAACAUUUUUAUCAAUAUCCUACCUGAGGGGUAGAGGUGUUAAAUUACUUUUCCAUGAUGACAUGGCCCACUGAGUAUGAAGGCUGAUUUGAAACCAUGGUUUCUUUUUUGCUAAUAUGGUACCAUCCUUGUUCAAUUAUGUCUUGAUCUGAAGUGGGAGCCAUAGUAUAUUGUUAAGGUAGGAUGGGUAUUAUAUAGUAUUUAAAAACUGUAUUACAAAGUAAAGAAAUCAAUUGCGUGAGAAGUUGUUUACUACCUGUAUGACCUUGGUAAGUCCUAACCAUUCUAGGCUUUUUGAGGUCUUUUGUUUCAUUAAGUAAAGAUAAUAAUAUCUGCUCUGUAUACCUAAUCAAAUGAAAUCACAUGGAUAAAAGUACUCUAUCCAUUACUUUGUAAUGAAUUUUUAUUAUUAAGAAU